UGCAUAUGAAUCUGCCCGAUAAUGGUUGAUAACCUGGGGAAACGCAGGCUAAUACCGCAUACGUCCUACGGGAGAAAGGGGGCUUCGGGUCCCGUUUUUGGAUGAGCCUAUGUCGGAUUAGCUAGUUGGNGAGGUAAAGGCUCACCAAGGCUGCGAUCCGUAGGUGGUCUGAGAGGAUGAUCAGCCACAUCGGUACUGAGACACGGCCCGAACUCCUACGGGAGGCAGCAGUGGGGAAUAUUGGACAAUGGGGGCAACCCUGAUCCAGCCAUGCCGCNUGUGUGAAGAAGGCCCUCGGGUUGUAAAGCACUUUCAGCGAGGAAGAACGCCUAGUGGUUAAUACCCAUUAGGAAAGACAUCACUCGCAGAAGAAGCACCGGCUAACUCCGUGCCAGCAGCCGCGGUAAUACGGAGGGUGCAAGCGUUAAUCGGAAUUACUGGGCGUAAAGCGCGCGUAGGUGGCUUGAUAAGCCGGUUGUGAAAGCCCCGGGCUCAACCUGGGAACGGCAUCCGGAACUGUCAGGCUAGAGUGCAGGAGAGGAAGGUAGAAUUCCCGGUGUAGCGGUGAAAUGCGUAGAGAUCGGGAGGAAUACCAGUGGCGAAGGCGGCCUUCUGGACUGACACUGACACUGAGGUGCGAAAGCGUGGGUAGCAAACAGGAUUAGAUACCCUGGUAGUCCACGCCGUAAACGAUGUCGACCAGCCGUUGGGUGCCUAGCGCACUUUGUGGCGAAGUUAACGCGAUAAGUCGACCGCCUGGGGAGUACGGCCGCAAGGUUAAAACUCAAAUGAAUUGACGGGGGCCCGCACAAGCGGGG
rnacentral:rRNA from 1 species